GUCAGAAGAGAGCUAAAAUGGCGGAGGUUGGGAGUCCCUGCUUUGACUCUGUUUGCAAACUCUUGUUUCAUUGUUUAAGCGAUUAAAUAUCUCGAGUAGACGCUGUCUCUUUAGAUGCGAGGGCAAAAUAGCACUUUAUGGACUUCCACAGAGGACAUCAUGUUUAAUACGGUUCCGGAAAAAUCCAGUCAGAAGUUGUUCACGGAGUUUUCACAAUAACUGCUUCUCAUGAACCGAAGCUGGAUUUGCGCGACGUCUCCUCUUGAAAGUUGAAUUACUGUGCACUUCUGGAUCACAGACUAUUCGCAGCUGUACACAUCCUUCUACACUGUAUGCAAACAUGCAACAUCAUUACACACAGUACAAGGAGUCAGACUGGCAUAUGAGGAGCAAAGGAACCCAGGCAGUAGCAUCGUUUCACAAUGUUUCCAUCACCAUCAUCAGUGGAUGCCUUUGCCGUCCGUAGCCUGAGAUUUCAGAUUUGCAGCAAAAAAAAAUUGAUUUUCUCAUUUAUUGGAAUGCUGUGCAGGUAUUUGUACCUUGCAGCCAUCCAUUACAACGUCACCAAGCCGUAACAAAAGCAGGAGAGGGAAAGUACAAGGCUAUGUUCCCAAAACACAAAUGACAUACCUUAUGUGGAGGAUGUGAUCAGGCUUGUGUUUGAGGAGGUAUUUGAAGAUAAGCUGAAGGAAACCCCGAUUCCAAUGGACCUGGCCUCACAGUUUGAGAGACCUUCAAAGGAGGACGUGAUUGCAUGCCAUCUUCAGUGCAGGGGUCGUCGAAAGCCAAAAUUGUGACCGAUCUGAUCAGGAAGCUCCAAGCGUAUCUGGAGAACAACACACGACGGGAUGAUAACCUUAUAGUGUCGUCUUAAAUAGCACCAGCUGACAAAGCUUUGAUAUGCCAUUUAUCUGAAUAGAUAGCUGUAAGAAAUGAAUUGAACAAUUUUUGA